AUACAUGCAAGUCGAGCGCGGGAAACCGGCGGACUCCUUCGGGAGGAAACCGGUGGAACGAGCGGCGGACGGGUGAGUAACACGUGGGCAACCUGCCGGACUGAUGGGAAUAACCCCGGGAAACCGGGGCUAAUGCCCAAUACGCCCUGACCUCGCCUGAGGUCAGCGGUAAAGCAGGGAUCUUCGGAUCCUUGCACAGUCCGAUGGGCCCGCGGCGCAUUAGCUAGUUGGAGAGGUAAGGGCUCCCCAAGGCGACGAUGCGUAGCCGACCUGAGAGGGUGAUCGGCCACACUGGGACUGAGACACGGCCCAGACUCCUACGGGAGGCAGCAGUAGGGAAUCAUCCGCAAUGGGCGAAAGCCUGACGGUGCAACGCCGCGUGAGUGAUGAAGGUUUUCGGAUCGUAAAGCUCUGUUGACAGGGAAGAACCCACGCCAGUCGAACAGGCUGGCGUGCUGACGGUACCUGUCCAGAAAGCCCCGGCUAACUACGUGCCAGCAGCCGCGGUAAUACGUAGGGGGCAAGCGUUGUCCGGAAUUAUUGGGCGUAAAGGGCACGCAGGCGGUUUCGUCAGUCCGAUGUGACAGGCCACGGCUCAACCGUGGAAGGCCAUUGGAAACUGCGAAACUUGAGGACAGAAGAGGAGAGUGGAAUUCCACGUGUAGCGGUGAAAUGCGUAGAUAUGUGGAGGAACACCAGUGGCGAAGGCGACUCUCUGGUCUGUACCUGACGCUGAGGUGCGAAAGCAUGGGGAGCAAACAGGAUUAGAUACCCUGGUAGUCCAUGCCGUAAACGCUGAGUGCUAGGUGUUAGGGGUUUCGAUACCCGUAGUGCCGAAGCUAACGCAUUAAGCACUCCGCCUGGGGAGUACGACCGCAAGGUUGAAACUCAAAGGAAUUGACGGGGGCCCGCACAAGCGGUGGAGCAUGUGGUUUAAUUCGACGCAACGCGAAGAACCUUACCAGAUCUUGACAUCUUCCGCUACGCCUCGAGAGAGGCGGUUCCCCUUCGGGGGACGGAAUGACAGGUGGUGCAUGGUUGUCGUCAGCUCGUGUCGUGAGAUGUUGGGUUAAGUCCCGCAACGAGCGCAACCCCUAAUCUUAGUUGCCAGCAUUCAGUUGGGCACUCUAAGGUGAC
rnacentral:rRNA from 1 species